rnacentral:misc_RNA from 1 species
AAAACUGCCUGUGCAUCUAUUUCGGAGUUCUGUACGCCUUGUACCAUUUCCCCCGUUUCAUUUUGGGCCGCCGUGGGCUUAGCCGCUCAUUCUUUGUUUCCUUCUCUUCAGCUUCCUUUCUACUGUUCUUGUUCUUUCUCACAAUCUCUAUUUCUUCCUCUACCGCGCACCCGCCUACACUCCUCUGCUGUGCAUAAACCGGUGAUUCAGUAAGUUAUACCGCUGAAAAUGAUUUCACUCGCUGCAAGAUUCACUAAGUUGUUAAGAGCCUCUUGUCCUACCACGCGCAGCUCUCCUCCAGUGAUGGGUUUGCAACGAAGCUUGAGGUCAUGUUACUCAACUGUGUCGUCCAAUGGGGACAAUGGUGGUCGGAAGGAUGAUGAAUUGGACGAGGAGUUUGAUGAUUUUCUUAGUGAAAAGCCAGAGUUACAGCUCCAAGGUGUGGAUCCCCGGAAAGGUUGGGGAUUUCGUGGUGUCCACAAGGCGAUCAUCUGUGGUAAAGUUGGGCAAGCUCCAGUGCAGAAGAUCUUGAGGAAUGGCCGAACUGUAACCAUAUUUACUGUUGGAACAGGUGGCAUGUUUGACCAAAGAAUUGUAGGAGCAAAAGACUUGCCAAAACCUGCUCAGUGGCAUCGAAUUGCUGUGCAUAAUGAGAUGCUUGGGGCUUAUGCUGUUCAACAACUUGCCAAAAAUUCCUCUGUUUAUGUUGAGGGUGACAUUGAAACUAGAGUUUACAAUGAUAGUAUCAGUGGUGAAGUUAAAAACAUUCCGGAGAUUUGUGUUCGUCGUGAUGGGAAAAUUCGCCUUGUAACAAGUGGAAAAGUCACCAGUGAUAUUUCAUUUGAGGAUCUACGAGAGGGAUUGUUUAACUGAAAGCUGGUGCAUUGCAGAAAUCUGAGUCUCAGAAAGCAGGACCAGCUAGACUUUUGUAAGAAAUAGAUAUUGUUUAAGUAGUGUGACAAAUUGGUUUAAUUAUUUCAGUGUUCCCGACUUCCUAUCCACAAUCUGGUUGUUUAGCAUGUCUUUUCUCUAUCAUGAUCAUCUGUGUGCAUGCAGGUGCUGGUGUAUACCCCUUUUUUUUUUAAUGUUAGGCAACACAAUAGGGAAAUACUUCUUCUUCACUCGAUAAAUCCCUCUGUAUUAGGACUUGAAUCUGAGAUUUUUAAGUUGAACUCAAAUUCCAACUGUUGGAGUGUACCUUUUAGGAUAUAUUUUUAGUUAAUUAUUUGCAUUAAAGAUAGUUCCAUUACAUUCCAGCUGAGCAUUUGAAGACUACAUCUUAGCUCUGUUUAUACUUCUACCUAUAGACAGCAAAGCCAUCCUACAAAUGACAAAUAUCAGCAACGACAUUAACUUUUUGCAGUCACUUCCAUUCUUCCAGCUUUGGUGAAACUUCCUCUUAGGAAACACAUAAUCAUGUAACAACUGCAAAAUA